CAAUAAGCGGAGGAAAAGAAACUAACAAGGAUUCCCUUAGUAACUGCGAGUGAAGAGGGAAAAGCUCAAAUUUAAAAUCUGGCAGCAACCCUUGCUGUCCGAGUUGUAAAUUAGAGAAGUGCUAUCCGCGCUGGCCUGUGCAAAAGUCUCUUGGAAAAGAGCAUCAUAGAGGGUGACAAUCCCGUCUUUGGCACAGAUUCUAGGGCUUUUGUGAUGCGCUCUCAAUGAGUCGAGUUGUUUGGGCAUGCAGCUCCAAAUGGGUGGUAAAUUCCAUCUAAAGCUAAAUAUUGGCGAGAGACCGAUAGCGAACAAGUACCGUGAGGGAAAGAUGAAAAGAACUUUGAAAAGAGAGUUAAACAGUACGUGAAAUUGUUGAAAGGGAAACGCUUGAAGUCAGUCGUGUCUGUCAGAAAUCAGCUCAAUCUUGAUUGGGUGCACUUUCUUUCAGAUGGGUCAGCAUCAAUUUUGACCGUUGGAAAAAGGCCUUGGAAAUGUAGCAUCCCUUGGAUGUGUUAUAGUCUUUGGCUGAAUACCAUGGUUGGGAUUGAGGAACUCAGUGUGACCUUGUGUUUGGAGGCAUAACGCCUUACACUUACGCACUUAGGAUGCUGGCAUAAUGGCUUUAAUCGACCCGUCUUGAAACACGGACCAAGGAGUCUAACAUACAUGCGAGUGUUUGGGUGGAAAACCCAAGCGCGCAAUGAAAGUGAAAGUUGAGAACCCUGUCGUGGGGUGCAUCGACGCCCGGUCCAGACCUUCUGUGACGGAUCUGAGGUUAAGCAUGCAUGUUGGGACCCGAAAGAUGGUGAACUAUGCCUGAAUAGGGUGAAGCCAGAGGAAACUCUGGUGGAAGCUCGUAGCGAUUCUGACGUGCAAAUCGAUCGUCGAAUUUGGGUAUAGGGGCGAAAGACUAAAUCGAACCAUCUAGUAGCUGGGUUCCCGCCGA
rnacentral:rRNA from 1 species